rnacentral:rRNA from 1 species
AGUGAACGCUGGCGGUAGGCCUAACACAUGCAAGUCGAACGGCAGCACAGUAAGAGCUUGCUCUUACGGGUGGCGAGUGGCGGACGGGUGAGGAAUACAUCGGAAUCUACUUUUUCGUGGGGGAUAACGUAGGGAAACUUACGCUAAUACCGCAUACGACCUACGGGUGAAAGCAGGGGAUCUUCGGACCUUGCGCGAUUGAAUGAGCCGAUGUCGGAUUAGCUAGUUGGCGGGGUAAAGGCCCACCAAGGCGACGAUCCGUAGCUGGUCUGAGAGGAUGAUCAGCCACACUGGAACUGGGACGCGGUCCAGACUCCUACGGGAGGCAGCAGUGGGGAAUAUUGGACAAAGGGCGCAAGCCUGAUCCAGCCAUACCGCGUGGGUGAAGAAGGCCUUCGGGUUGUAAAGCCCUUUUGUUGGGAGAGAAAAGCAGCAGGUUAAUACCCCGCUGUUCUGACGGUACCCAAAGAAUAAGCACCGGCUAACUUCGUG